CACCACAGCUCAUGACACAAAUCGAAAAAGAGAUCAACUUCAAGACAUCAUCUCAUGUUGUCAAUUUGUGAGCAUCCCUUAGAAAUUAAAUAAACACCAUAAAAGAAGCAUCCAACAAAUUGGCAGCAAUGCAGUAACUGCAAACCUAUUGCCUCCGUGACUCUUUAAUUACAACCCCAAAUAUCAUAUGCCAAAACAAGGAGCAACAUCAAAACCUUCAUAAUUAAACACUCUUGAAAGUUGCCUACACACCCUCUUUACUCAUCCUUAGGUUAAAACAUGUUCUUAUCACCCCUAAACACCACCAGUCAAAAUCAUAGCUUACUCGAGUUGAAAACACCUUUUAGUUGAAGAGAAGACAAUCGAAAUCAUCCUUAACCCACCAACCCUUAUCCAACAUCGAUCAAGAGGACAUCAAACAUGAUUCCAUAAUAAGCUUGUUAAAAUCCCUCAAGAAAGGAAAGCCGGAUCAGCAGCAUUCGACAGUGUUCCUCAUCAGUUAUGGCCGUCGAUGAUGAACCUUAACCCCCUCAGCCUUUCGAGUUCACAUCCUGAUUUCGCUUGGAUUUCGUUUCGAUGAUAGUUUUUAGAGAAGACUUGUGUUCGGUGACAUUCUUUAGUUCUGGAGUUCUCUACUAAUCAAUUACAUUCGUUCUAAUGUUCUUUCUAGGAAAAUCUUGUCAUAUACAUGCUCAACCAUUAGGGAAUUUAACUUUGUUGCCUAAUUUCUUUUUGUUGAUGUUCUCAAUUCUUUUCAUAUUUUUUAAAAAUCAUAUAUAUAUAUAUAGGUUAUAACAAUGUGGCAUAGCUUUUGAAUCUUUAUUUGUCACUAUAAUAAUAUUUCACAUGUUGAUUAUAUUUAAAAAAUUAAUUCAAGAUAAAUUCCUUAUAAAUAUUGUCAUGUAAUUGUUGAUGCUCUAAAUGUUGAUAUGCAUGAAUAUAUUAAAUAUGUACUAAAAAUAAAAAAUUAAAAUUAAUUAUAAGAAAUGUAAACUAUAAAGAAAAUUGAAGCAAAUAUAUACUAAAAUUUUCAACUUAAAAUAUAUAUUUAAAACUUAAAGUAUAUUAUUAAAGACGCAUUUUAAUAAAGAUUGAUUAAAGUAAAUAUAUUUAAAAUUCUUAAUUAAUUUAAACAAAACUCAAUUAUAAAAAAAAUUAUUAUUUUCUUUUUCAAACUCUAACAAAUUUAUGGGAAAAUUGAAUGUUCCAUAUUCUUAUCCUUAGAAUGGAAAUGCUGGGCUAUUAUGGGAAAAGAAAUAUUGACAAAUAGUCUCACAAGUAUACGACGAAAAUGAUUCUUCUCUUUAAGGACAAAAGCAAGACCUAAGAAAGUAUACCACAAAGGGUAGAGUAAAGUGAAGCAAACUCAAGGGUUUUCUUGUAAUGGGAAUGAGUGAGUGUGAGAGUAGGACAGAGGGGGAGACCAUGGAACUUCAACAUUUCAGUCAUCCACAUCCUUUGGUCUUCUUCAAAUGUCAGACUGUUGCAAGCGAAGAAGUAGACCCAGAAGCAGCUCUUUGCCUUGGGUGUGAGAAACCUGUAGAGGGCUGGAGCUAUGGUUGCAAUCAAUGUGAGUUUUAUCUUCACAAGGGAUGUGCUGAGUUAGAGUUAGCCCCCAAGAUUCAGCAUCCCUUCCACCCCAAACACCCUCUCACUCUUCUGCCAAAUUCAGAUCGUUAUAUGUCAGGAAUUUGCGAUUUGUGUGGUAAGAAAUUUGGAGGAUUUGUUUAUAAUUGUAGUGAUUGUAGUUUCGAUCUGCACAUCAAUUGUGCUUUGCUUCAAUCAUCCAUUGCUGCAAAUUUUCCUAAUUCUUUGCACCCCCAUCCUUUGUUAUUCAUUCAAAAUCAUAACAACGAAAUCGAGCCUCAUUGCUCCGGAUGUCAGAAACCAAUAUCUGGUCCAAUUUACCACUGCUCAGAUUGCACAUAUACUAUUUUUAACCUUCAUAAGGAAUGUGCUGAACUACCCCUUGAGAUUAAUCACCCCUAUGACCGUAAGCAUCCUCUUACUCUCUUGCCACAACCGCCUACUCAUCCCCAGAAAUGUAGUUGCUAUUUGUGCAGAAUCCAAUGGAAGGGGUUUGUUUAUUCCUGCUCUUUAUGCAACUUUGAUCUUUCACUUGAUGAUUUUCUUUUUUCACCACCAACAAUCACAGUUGCAAGUCAUGAACACCCGUGGAUGCUUAUAUCUAGAAAAAUGUCGUUUGUUUGUGAUUUUUGUGGCACUGACGGAGAUCACUCCCCUUAUCACUGUGAUACCUGUGUGCUUUUUGUCCACAAGAAUUGCAUUUCAUUGCCACGCCACAUCAUGAUAACACGACAUAGUCACAGGAUUUCUCUUUCCUAUUCUCUUCGACAAAUUCAAGUUGAGGAUUGGAUGUGAAAAAUUUGUUACGAGGAAGUUGAUAUAAGGUAUGGCAGUUACCGUUGUCCUGCUUCUCGUUGCCGUUAUAUUGCUCAUGUACGUUGUGCAACUGAUAGAGAAAUUUGGGGUGGAACAAUUAUGCCGGAAGGCUAUGAUGAGAGGUCUGAGGAAGUGGUGGAUGAACCUUCGAAUUUGAUUACUGAUGUUGUUGAACAAAUUCGUAUUGGAGAGCUAAUGGUAGCAAGUGAGAUCAAGCAUUCCUAUCAUGAUUAUAAUUUAAGACUCACUUUUAGUGGGAAGACCAAAGAUGAUGAUAGUGAGUGCAAUGGGUGCACCAACUCCUUUUUAUAGUUGUGAGCAAUGCAAGUUCUUUCUCCACAGAGAUUGCGCUGAAUUGCCUAAAGAAAUGCCACACCCAUUUCACAUGCAUUUGCUUACUCCCUCAAACUCACACAUUAAUGGAUAUGGUUAUUCAUGUUGCCAUGCUUGCUUUCGUGCGUAUCAAGGAUUUAGCUACAGAUGCUACAAAGGUUGCAGCUUCGAAAUUGACGCGUAAUGUAUGUUAUUAUCGGACACCUUGAAGCACGCAAGUCAUAAGCAUUCACUAUUUUUUGUCCACAACAACGAGGGAUCGAGUUGCAGUGCUUGUUUCAAAAGACAACGCUGGUGGAAUGGUGCAUAUAGAUGCAUGAGGCGCUGUGAUUUCAGUUUAGAUGUAGGUUGUGCAACACUACCACUCACUGCUUGGUACAAGUAUGACAGGCAUGCUCUUACUUUGACUUUUUCUGAUGAUUCUGAGGCUUCUCAACUUUACUGUGAUUUCUGCGAGAAAGAAAGAGAGCCAAAUAGUUGGUUUUAUUACUGUGCUGAGUGUGAUAACUCUCUUCAUCUCAAUUGUGCUAUUGGGGAUGACCCAUAUAUGAAGCUUGGGAACAAAUUGGAAGAUCCUGGGCAUAAACAUUCAUUCACUGUUGUGAAAAACAUCUGGAAUUGCCCUCCAUGUAAGGUAUGUGGUGAGGUUUGCAAUAGGCAGGCCUUAGAAUGUAAAGAAUCUGAAUGCAAUUUUACCGUCCACUGGAAUUGCCGUUGGAGACUCCUGAGAAUCAUUUGAAUGAUAUUCCACUCAAGUUUAAGAAACAGAGAAGGCACAAUAUGAGAGAUGUGUGGUGUUGUGUGGAAGGGUGUAGCAGAUUUGGUAAAAAUGGGUGAUGACCUUAGUUGUUGUAAUCUGCAUUAUGUGAUGUUUAUGGUUGUUGUUUGAGGAGUAGAAGGUCGUGUUAGAUGAAACAUGAUUUGUAACCACACAUCUGUAUCUUUCACUUUUCUAUUUGCUUCUUAUGCAUUCAACUUUUAUCUAAAAUUAGUGAUGAGAAGGAAGAAAUGGUUUUUAGGUUGUCAUAAUAAAAUAUUUUUAAUAAUAGAAGUAUGAAAAUACUAAAAUAAUGUUGAGUUUGGAAAUUUAAAUACAAAAUCAUUCUUCCCUUUAUAACUGCAUACAAAAUUGUGUGUGAUUUUUAAGCCCAAAAUAUAAGCGGAUUUGGUAUAUCUUAUUAUUUUUGCGCAAAACUGUAUAUAUGUUUUAGCUUUACAAUUUAAGUUAAUUAAGUCAACUUAAUUAAUUUUAUUUCUACUCCAUUUUCUUUAUUUUAGAUCUUUUUCUAAAAUUUGGAAUUCAGCCUUGCAAAUUUGAUUCUUACAUCAGAUUUUACUGUUCACAAUUUAGAAAAGACUAAAUUCAAUUUAGACAAAAUGUCUUUUUUUUUCGUUGCCCUCAAAAUAUUAAAAAUAAAAAAUCUUCAACUCAUGAAUAGGAGUAUAAUGUGCUUCCACGCACUUGAAUCCACAUCCUCCUGCAUUAACAACAAUACUCAUGCUAAUGAACUAAAACUCAAUCGGCUACUUUCUAAUUUUCAAAAUAUUCAAAAUUAUUUUCUUAAAUAAUUUAAUAUUAAGCUAUCAAUUUUAAAAUAUUAAUAUAUUAAACUUAAAAAACUCUAAAUGGAACUUCGAUCUCUUGAAUCUACCUAAACUCAAAUAAGAGAAAAUAAUUUUGAUACCUAAACUUUAAUUCUAUUUAUUAUUUCCAUAUAUCCUUCUAAUGGAGUUAAAAUCUUGCCUCACUUUCAAUGCAACCAAUUGUGGGACUAUUAGUUAGAAAAGUUUUAAUCAAAGUCAAGGGAUUUGAAGAUAAUUAUACCAAAAUUUAUUUUAAACCCCUAAAUGAAAAAUAGUAAGACCAACCCAAGCCCGGCACAAUUUAGCCCAUCAACGCAUCUACCCUAAACUUAAACUUUGCCCUCACGCUACCCAAUUCAAUCUAGGCUUAAUAUAAAAAUUGCCCCCUAAAUUAUAUUCAUUUUUUCAGAUAGGUAUAUAGUUUUUUUUUUCCGCAUUGGUACCCUGUUAGUUCUCCCUUAGUCAGCCAUUAGUCAACAUUGUUCAAUGUUUAAUGAUGAUGUGGCCCAAUCACUAAUGAACACGUGGCCAAAAAAGCCACAUAUAUAAACCAUCUCAUUCUUUGUAUAAAAUAAUUCCAAAAAAUAAAAAAAGUUAGAAAAAUUAAAAUUAUUUUUUUAUUUUAUAUUAAUAUUAAUUAAAAAUAAUAUUAAGAAAUAUUUUCACACCCUGUCCCUCUCCCACCGUCCCCCACCAUCCUCACCCAACCCUCUCCCUCUGCUAAUCCUUCAAUUAUAUUUUUAUAAAUAAAAAAUUCCCUCCUUUCUUUCUUCAACAUUGAUUCUUCGUCUCACAAUUCCCUUCAAAUCUAUCCACCACAUGUUUGGGAAAAUGACCCUCAAAAAAAAUAAAUUUUGAGCCUCAAAUUGGUGUUUUCCUUCAUCUAUUGGAUUGCUUUCUUAUAAUAGGAUUAUAAGUUUGUGGGUGAAGGUUUUGUAUUUGUUAGUUUGGUUUAGUGGACUCUUAAUUUUAUUUAUGGCCUUCUUCCAAUCUAGAAUUUUGUUUGUACUCUGAAACUCUAAAGUGUAAAUAGCCAAAUUAAGUAUCUUUAAUGUACCAAUUGGUUUGUGUCUUUUACAGAAAAAUAAUUUUUCUAAUUUCUUUAUUUUGCCACAUGUCUAUUGGUGAUUGAGCCACAUCAUCAUUGACCAAGGUUGAUUAACGGCUGACUAAUGAAGGACUAACGAGGUACAUAUGUAAGAAAAAAUAUAGUUUAGAUACUCAAAUUGAUCAAAAAAGUGUUUAGGUAGUUAUUUAAGCAAAUGAGUGUAUUUUAAAGGACAAUUUUAAUAUUAAGCCUUCAACCUAUAAAUAGAUUUAUUUAUAAUUAAUUUAAUUUAAUUUAAUAUGAUCUGAUUUAAAUUAAUUGUUAAACACGUUUAAUGACUUAAAUUUUAGUCACAAAUGACAAACUUCUAAAACAUGAUUUUUUAGUUCAAAUUGGUACUUUCAAGUAACUAAGUAUUAAUUUAGAUAAAAAAAUCAAAUUCAGGUAGUAAUUUAAAUCAAGAAGCAAAGUUUAGGUAUUUAAUUGGACCAAAAUACCAAAUGUAACUUUGAAGUCAUGUUCAAGUACCUAAUUAGAAAAAAAAACCUUAGGUAUCAAUUUGAACUCUGAAGCUAAGUUCAAGUACCAAAAUGUAUAUUUCCCUUACUUUUCCAAUAACCAUUGAAUGCUCUCAUUUUCAUCCACCAGAUCGGAGCAAACAUUAAUUAUUGACAGAAAAUAAUAAUUCUAGUGAUUAUGUUGAAAGUAAACCUUAAUUUUCUGUCACCGACAAUCACAGUCCUUUUUGCAUUAUUUCUCAAUUUUUAGUUCAUCAACGAUCAAGAAUACUUUUUUCUUUUUUACAGUGAUUAUGUUGAGAUUUCCUAUAAAAUUCUCUUUUUAUUUGCAAGGAAUCUACAACUCUAGUGUGAAUCAGGGACAUUGUCUUUGAUCGCAGGGUGUUCGCUGAAAUGCUUGACACAAGCAUGCAGGCGCGGGAAGCUAUCAGCUUUGAUAAACUUAAAUCCCACCGCAUCUUCCAUAGGCGCCAACAUAUGAAUAACUAUUCCUAAAACGAGGUCAGCCAUGCCAAUUCCAUUAAAAAGAGGCCUAAGCUAAGCUACCAAGCAAAGAGGAAGAAGAAGAGAUGGUUUCAGGGUGAGGCAUGUGCUCCAAAAGGGUAGCGGUGGAUGCAAGGCAUCACAUGCUGGGAAGGUUGGCUUCCAUAUUGGACAAGGAGUUGUUGAAUGGCCAAAAAGUAGUGGUGGUGAGAUGUGAAGAGAUAUGCAUGUGGGGUGGAUUGGUUAGCCAGAAGAUGAAUCUCAUGAGGUUUCUUAGGGAGCGUAUGAACACUGAUCUUGCGUACCAUUCGCGGGUGUGUUUUUCUUUUCGAGAGUCUUUUUUCCCUUUUAGUGUGUUUUCAUAGUUCUUUAUUUGGUCUGUGAAUGAAAAGGAUGGAAAUUUCUGGGUUUUUGAUGCUUGGUAAUUUAGGAAGCCUUUAUUAUAAACUUUUUGAGAGAUUUUUUUCUAUUUAUUUGAAGUUCUAUGAUUUGGAUAUUGGAAUAUAUAUUGCAAAAGAACCAAUGGAAUCUGCGUGUUUAGUUGUGUUUGAUAUCAAAAUUAAUAAUGAGAGUUUGCUAUUGAUUUUUCUUGUUAGAGAUCUGUGUGUUUUGUUAUAUUUGGUUAUUGGUAAAAUGUAGGGACGAAGUGAAAGAGAGUAGAAUGAGUGUGCUUGAGGUUAUUAUUGUUGGAUUGAGAGAAAACUAAUAGCUGAGAAAGUCUAUGAAUUUUAUGGUGCAAAGGCAAUGCUUUUGGCUUCAGCAUAUAUGAAGUGAAGUAUAUAACUGGCUUCAUUUGGACUUUCCUUAUGGUAAUUGAUAUUUGCUUUGAUUGCAGGAUGAUUCCUCGCAAAGACUAAGCACGGAGUGGCAGCUUUCGCUGGUGUGAAUUGAAGGCGUAUGAGGGGAUUCUUGCACCAUAUGAUAAGACUAAGAGAAUGGUUAUUCCUGAUGCUCUCAAGUUUUGCAGUAGUUGGUUUCUUUUGAGGAAUUUAGAAUUUCGUUUUCUUACUUGCUUCUGUGGAUAGUUAGUCAUGCUCAAUGUUUUUUAAAUUGGUGGAGAAAAUAGCAUUACCCUGGAGUAAAUAUGAAAUAUAACAUUGAACGCUUUUAUGUAGGUUAUCCAACAUUGAAUGCUUAGGACUUGGUUUGGAGCUUCAGGAACUACUGAUGAAGAAGUUUAUGAAGACAUCAAAAGAGUCAUUUCAUUGGUUUGGCAGUUCUAGGACUUGGUUGUCCUUUACUCAGAGCCAGAGCAGGUAGGUUCUGUUUUUACUUGGCUGUUUGUGAUUGAUGUUUGUUGCACCUUUUCCCCUCUCUUUUGUAACUGUAUUGUAGCUUUGGGUCAGUGGUUGGGCUAUGAAUUUAUGAAUAUCAAACUGUUGUGUCUGGUCAACAUUGCAGACUCCUCGAAUUGUCUCCUUACCGUCUGAGUCUUACAACCUACCAAGACAACACCGAACCAAACCUUCCGCAUACAGAAGAAAAACAUUCCUUGCAAUAAAAUUAAAAUUGAUACAAAAACUACAACAUCCAUAGGGAAGCAUCAAAACACUUCAAAAAGAUAACCACAAUGACACUUGCGUACACCACAGCUCAUAACACAAAUCGAAAAAGAGAUCAACUUCAAGACAUCAUCUCAUGUUAUCAAUUUGUGAGCAUCCUUUAGAAAUUAAAUAAACACCAUAAAAGAAGCAUCCAACAAAUUGGCAGCAAUGCAGUAACUGCAAACCUAUUGCCUCCGUGACUCUUUAAUUACAACCCCAAAUAUCAUAUGCCAAAACAAG
rnacentral:lncRNA from 1 species